rnacentral:rRNA from 1 species
GACGAACGCUGGCGGCGUGCUUAACACAUGCAAGUGGAGCGACGAACCGGGCUUCGGCCCGGGGCAAAGCCGCGAACGGGUGAGUAACACGUGGGUAACCUGCCCCGAUGAUUGGGACAACCCCGGGAAACCGGGGCUAAUACCAAAUGUGCUCGCGCCCCUCGAGGGGCGUCAGGAAAGGAAGCUUCGGCCUCCGCAUCGGGAUGGGCCCGCGGCGCAUUAGCUUGUUGGUGAGGUAACGGCUCACCAAGGCGACGAUGCGUAGCUGGUCUGAGAGGACGAUCAGCCACACUGGGACUGAGACACGGCCCAGACUCCUACGGGAGGCAGCAGUGGGGAAUCUUGCGCAAUGCGCGAAAGCGUGACGCAGCAACGCCGCGUGCGGGAAGACGGCCUUCGGGUUGUAAACCGCUUUCAGUUGGGACGAAGCUCCGUCGGUGAACAGCCGGCUGGAGUGACGGUACCUUCAGAAGAAGCCCCGGCUAACUACGUGCCAGCAGCCGCCGGUAAUAC